UUGACCUCAAAUCAGGUAGGACUACCCGCUGAACUUAAGCAUAUCAAUAAGCGGAGGAAAAGAAACUAACAAGGAUUCCCCUAGUAACUGCGAGUGAAGCGGGAAAAGCUCAAAUUUAAAAUCUGGCGGUUCUUGACCGUCCGAGUUGUAAUCUAGAGAAGUGUUACCUGUGCUGGACCGUGUACAAGUCUCCUGGAAUGGAGCAUCAUAGAGGGUGAGAAUCCCGUCUUUGACAUGGACUGCCUGCAUGUUGUGGUGCGCUCUCGAAGAGUCGAGUUGUUUGGGAAUGCAGCUCAAAACGGGUGGUAAAUGCCAUCUAAAGCUAAAUAUUGGCGAGAGACCGAUAGCGAACAAGUACCGUGAGGGAAAGAUGAAAAGAACUUUGGAAAGAGAGUUAAACAGUACGUGAAAUUGCUGAAAGGGAAACGCUUGAAGUCAGUCGCGUUGGCUAGAAAUCAGCCUUGCUUUUGCUUGGUGUACUUUCUUGUCGACGGGUCAGCAUCAGUUUCGACCGCUGGAUAAGGACUUUGGGAAUGUGGCAUCUUUGGAUGUGUUAUAGCCCAUUGUCGCAUAUGGUGGUGGGGAUUGAGGAACUCAGCACGCCGCAAGGCCGGGUCUCUGACCACGCUCGUGCUUAGGAUGCUGGCAUAAUGGCUUUAAUCGA
rnacentral:rRNA from 1 species